GGCCAGACUCCUACGGGAGGCAGCAGUGGGGGAUAUUGCACAAUGGGGGAAACCCUGAUGCAGCGACGCCGCGUGGGCGAAGAAGUAUUUCGGUAUGUAAAGCCCUAUCAGCAGGGAAGAAGAAAUGACGGUACCUGAGUAAGAAGCACCGGCUAAAUACGUGCCAGCAGCCGCGGUAAUACGUAGGGGGCAAGCGUUAUCCGGAUUUACUGGGUGUAAAGGGAGCGUAGACGGCAGUGCAAGUCUGGAGUGAAAGCCCGGGGCCCAACCCCGGGACUGCUCUUGGAACUGCGCGGCUGGAGUGCAGGAGGGGCAGGCGGAAUUCCUGGUGUAGCGGUGAAAUGCGUAGAUAUCAGGAGGAACACCGGUGGCGAAGGCGGCCUGCUGGACUGCGACUGACGUUGAGGCCCGAAAGCGUGGGGAGCAAACAGGAUUAGAUACCCGAGUAGG
rnacentral:rRNA from 1 species